AUACGGAGGAUGCGAGCGUUAUCCGGAUUUAUUGGGUUUAAAGGGUGCGUAGGCUGUGCGUUAAGUCAGGGGUGAAAUGCCGUCGCUCAACGACGGAGCUGCCCUUGAUACUGGCGUGCUGGAGUACGGAUGCCGUUGGAGGAAUGAGUGGUGUAGCGGUGAAAUGCUUAGAUAUCACUCAGAACACCGAUUGCGAAGGCAUCUGACGAAUCCGUCACUGACGCUGAGGCACGAAAGCGUGGGGAUAGAACAGGAUUAGAUACCCUGGUAUUCCACGCCGUAAACGAUGAUGACUAACCGUCGGCGAUAGACAGCCGGUGGCCAAGCGAAAGCGAUAAGUCAUCCACCUGGGGAGUACGUCGGCAACGAUGAAACUUAAAUGAAUUGACGGGG
rnacentral:rRNA from 1 species